rnacentral:rRNA from 1 species
GACGAACGCUGGCGGCGUGCCUAAUACAUGCAAGUCGAGCGGACUUGACAGAGCUUGCUCUGUUCAAGUUAGCGGCGGACGGGUGAGUAACACGUGGGCAACCUGCCCUGCAGAUUGGGAUAACUCCGGGAAACCGGGGCUAAUACCGAAUAACAUUGAAAACCUCAUGGUUUUCUUUUAAAAGGCGGCUUCGGCUGUCACUGCAGGAUGGGCCCGCGGCGCAUUAGCUAGUUGGUGAGGUAACGGCUCACCAAGGCGACGAUGCGUAGCCGAACUGAGAGGGUUAUCGGCCACACUGGGACUGAGACACGGCCCAGACUCCUACGGGAGGCAGCAGUAGGGAAUCUUCCGCAAUGGACGAAAGUCUGACGGAGCAACGCCGCGUGAGUGAAGAAGGUUUUCGGAUCGUAAAACUCUGUUAAGCGGAAAGAAAGACUUUUUCUUAAUAAGAAUAAGUGAUGACGGUACCGCUAGAGAAAGCACCGGCUAACUUCGUGCCAGCCGCCGCGGUAAUAC